rnacentral:rRNA from 1 species
GCCAGACUCCUACGGGAGGCAGCAGUGGGGGAUAUUGCACAAUGGGGGAAACCCUGAUGCAGCGACGCCGCGUGUGGGAAGACGGUCCUCUGGAUUGUAAACCACUGUCCCCAGGGACGAAGAUGACGGUACCUGGGGAGGAAGCUCCGGCUAACUACGUGCCAGCAGCCGCGGUAAUACGUAGGGAGCGAGCGUUGUCCGGAAUUACUGGGUGUAAAGGGAGCGUAGGCGGGCGAGAAAGUUGAAUGUUAAAUCUACCGGCUUAACUGGUAGCUGCGUUCAAAACUUCUUGUCUUGAGUGAAGUAGAGGCAGGCGGAAUUCCUAGUGUAGCGGUGAAAUGCGUAGAUAUUAGGAGGAACACCAGUGGCGAAGGCGGCCUGCUGGGCUUUAACUGACGCUGAGGCUCGAAAGCGUGGGGAGCAAACAGGAUUAGAUACCCCCGUAGGC